UCAUUCUUGGGGUGAGAGCAAGCAGGGCA
rnacentral:piRNA from 1 species